rnacentral:rRNA from 1 species
GCCCGCUCAGAAACUCAAAGGAAGUUGACGGGGGCCCGCGACAAGCGGUGGAGUAUGUGGUUAAUUCGAUGCAACGCGAAGAACCUUACCUGGUCUUGACAUCCCGGAGACCCUUAGGAAACUAGGGGGUGCUUCCAUCUGGAAGAAUCUGGAGACAGGUGCUGCAUGGCUGUCGUCAGCUCGUGUCGUGAGAUGUUGGGUUAAGUCCCGCAACGAGCGCAACCCUUGCCUUUAGUUGCCAGCAGUUCGGCUGGGCACUCUAAAGGGACUGCCGGUGUUAAACCGGAGGAAGGUGGGGAUGACGUCAAGUCCUCAUGGCCUUUAUGACCAGGGCUACACACGUACUACAAUGGCCGAUACAAAGGGCAGCGACACUGCGAGGUGAAGCCAAUCCCGUAAAAUCGGUCUCAGUCCGGAUUGGAGUCUGCAACUCGACUCCAUGAAGUUGGAAUCGCUAGUAAUCGUGGAUCAGCAUGCCACGGUGAAUACGUUCCCGGGCCUU